AUUUAGAGACUACCAUAUAUUGUUAAUAAUCACUGUCAUCUGCCAGGUACCGUAUGAAACAUUGGGCUGAUCCAGAUUUUAGUUUAUGACCAUUACUACCUAUGAUAGAUUGUUGACCGUGGGCAUAUAAUAUAUGUGUGGAGACCAUUACUACCUAUGAUAGAGUGUUGCCCGCGGGCAUAUAAUAUAUAUGUGUGGAGACCAUUACUACCUAUGAUAGAAUGUUGCCCGCGGGCAUAUAAUAUAUGUGUGGAUAUAUUUAUAUUUGUGAUUGGUAUGUCCUAUGUUCUAUCCACAUUAUGCAUUGCCUGUGUUCUUGACUUCUCGUUCAUGAACGUUAAGGCCUGUUUUGGUUCAAAGGAUAGGAAUAUCAUAGAAAUAGAAAAGAGAUGUCAUAC
rnacentral:lncRNA from 1 species